ACCCACACCUGGGCGUAGGUGGGUGUUCGACCAGAGAAGAGAAAGAAGGGGGAAACCCCUUCUCAAACCCUAAUCAACCAAAUUGGAUGGAUUCUGGCUGAAAUCGAACUUGCAUGAACAAGAUUCUUGAUUGUUCAACUCUGUAAAACACAUGGAAUCCCAAUUGACAUGGACUCAAGAAUGGAAGGCUAACGGAUCAAGGGUAAAUAAAGAAGCUAUGCACAACUCGGACGCACGAUGUAUAUGAACACCGGGUUCUUGAAGUUUCGAAGUCGAACUCUGAAUAAGAAAAUACGAGAGGAUAGUUAAAUAAAUCAAAGUUUCAUUGUUAAAUGUUAUUCACUAUUAGAUUAUAUGAGAAUCAUGUUGUAUAACGUUGUCAAUGACUAAUGGUUAAGUUGUAUGUGAUGUUCACAGGUAUUGCAUGUAUCUCUACCACUACUAUCGAAGAUAAGCAUGCAUUGAUCGAGCCCCAAAUUAAAGAUUGUACGGGAAGAACGACCACAUAGUCCGAUUUAUGUAUUGUCUUGAAGUGUUACUUUAAUGUGGUUAUUGUUAAUCCCUUUUUUGUAAACGUUUAUCAUUUGUAUUUGAGCUUUUAAAUAAGUAAUGGGUCUAAAUAAGAAAGAAAAUUUUUGGGCUCA